UGCCAGCCGCCGCGGUAAUACGAAGGGGGCUAGCGUUGCUCGGAAUUACUGGGCGUAAAGGGAGCGUAGGCGGACAUUUAAGUCAGGGGUGAAAUCCCGGGGCUCAACCUCGGAAUUGCCUUUGAUACUGGGUGUCUUGAGUAUGAGAGAGGUGUGUGGAACUCCGAGUGUAGAGGUGAAAUUCGUAGAUAUUCGGAAGAACACCAGUGGCGAAGGCGACACACUGGCUCAUUACUGACGCUGAGGCUCGAAAGCGUGGGGAGCAAACAGGAUUAGAUA
rnacentral:rRNA from 1 species